UCAAGCGUCAAAAGGGCAUCCGGGGGAUGUCUUGGCGGUAAGAGGCGAUGAAGGACGUGGCACUCUGCGAUAAGCGCCGGGGAGGCGAGAGCACCCUGUGAUCCGGCGAUUUCCGAAUGGGGAAACCCAUCUCAAUGUUGGCAGGUUUAUGGCGGGUCACCUUGGUGGCGCGCUAUCGGCCUACCAACUUCUAAACGAGAUAUUUCACACUGAAUACAUAGGUGUUGAAAAGCAAACCCGGGGAAUUGAAACAUCUAAGUACCCGGAGGAAAGGACAUCAACCGAGACUCCGUUAGUAGUGGCGAGCGAACGCGGACCAGGCCAGUGGCCAGAGAGUAAGAACCGGAAGCGUCUGGAAAGGCGCGCCAGAGCGGGUGAUAGCCCCGUACGGGUAGAAAUGACGAAGGUCCUCGAGUAGGGCGGGACACGUGAAAUCCUGUCUGAACAUGGGGGGACCACCCUCCAAGCCUAAGUACUCCUUACCGACCGAUAGUGAACAAGUACCGUGAGGGAAAGAUGAAAAGCACCCCGAUAAGGGGAGUGAAACAGACCCUGAAACCGGAUGCCUACAAGCAGAGGGAGCUCUUCGGAGUGACCUCGUACCUUUUGUAUAAUGGGUCAGCGACUUAGUGUUGCGUGCAAGCUUAAGCCGUUAGGUGUAGGCACAGCGAAAGCGAGUCUGAAUAGGGCGAAUUAGUACGUAGCAUUAGACCCGAAGCCGAGUGAUCUAGGUAUGGGCAGGGUGAAGGUGCGGUAACACGCACUGGAGGCCCGAACCGUUGAACGUUGAAAAGUUCUCGGAUGACCUGUGCCUAGGGGUGAAAGGCCAAUCAAACUCGGUGAUAGCUGGUUCUCCGCGAAAUCUAUUUAGGUAGAGCGUCAGACGAAUACUCCAGGGGGUAGAGCACUGGAUGGGCUAGGGGUCCUCACCGGAUUACCAAACCUUACCAAACUCCGAAUACCUGGAAGUACUAUCUGGCAGACACACGGCGGGUGCUAACGUCCGUCGUGAAAAGGGAAACAACCCAGACCGCCAAUUAAGGCCCCUAAGUAAUAGCUAAGUGCGAAACGAUGUGGAGGUGCUGAGACAAUCAGGAGGUUGGCUUAGAAGCAGCCAUCCUUUAAAGAAAGCGUAACAGCUCACUGAUCAAGCGCCUCUGCGCCGAAAAUGUAACGGGACUAAAGUCGUUCGCCGAAAUUGCGGACACGUAAGUGUGGUAGCGGAGCGUUCCGUAAGCCUGCGAAGGUGACCUGCGAGGGUUGCUGGAGGUAUCGGAAGUGAGAAUGCUGACAUGAGUAGCGAUAAAGCGGGUGAGAGACCCGCUCGCCGAAAGUCCAAGGGUUCCUGCGUAAAGCUAAUCUGCGCAGGGUUAGCCGGCCCCUAAGGCGAGGCCGAAAGGCGUAGUCGAUGGGAACACAGUUAAUAUUCUGUGGCCAUGGAGUGUGUGACGGAUUGCGGAAGUUGUCAUCCCUUAUUGGAUUGGGGUGGCAGCCAAACAGUCCCUGGAAAUAGCCCUCCUUUAGACCGUACCCUAAACCAACACAGGUGGACAGGUAGAGAAUACCAAGGCGCUUGAGAGAACUAUGCUGAAGGAACUCGGCAAAUUACCUCCGUAACUUCGGGAGAAGGAGGCCUUGUCUUAGGGCAACCUAAGGCGAGGGGCACAGACCAGGGGGUUGCGACUGUUUAUCAAAAACACAGGGCUCUGCGAAGCCGCAAGGCGACGUAUAGGGUCUGACGCCUGCCCGGUGCCGGAAGGUUAAAAGGAGGGGUGCAAGCUCCGAAUUGAAGCCCCGGUAAACGGCGGCCGUAACUAUAACGGUCCUAAGGUAGCGAAAUUCCUUGUCGGGUAAGUUCCGACCUGCACGAAUGGCGUAACGACUUCCCCACUGUCUCCAGCAUAGACUCAGCGAAAUUGAAUUCCCCGUGAAGAUGCGGGGUACCCGCGGUCAGACGGAAAGACCCCGUGAACCUUUACUACAGCUUCACAGUGGCAUUAACGAUAAUAUGUGUAGGAUAGGUGGGAGGCUUUGAAGCUCUGGCGCCAGUCGGAGUGGAGCCAUCCUUGAAAUACCACCCUUAUUCUCGUUGAUGUCUAACCGCUCCCCUGGAUGGGGACGGGACCCUGUGUGGCGGGUAGUUUGACUGGGGCGGUCGCCUCCUAAAGUGUAACGGAGGCGCGCGAUGGUAGGCUCAGAGCGGUCGGACAUCGCUCGUUGAGUGCAAUGGCAUAAGCCUGCCUGACUGUGACACCGACGGGUGGAACAGAGACGAAAGUCGGUCAUAGUGAUCCGGUGGUCCCGAGUGGAAGGGCCAUCGCUCAACGGAUAAAAGGUACUCCGGGGAUAACAGGCUGAUGAUGCCCAAGAGUCCAUAUCGACGGCAUCGUUUGGCACCUCGAUGUCGGCUCAUCACAUCCUGGGGCUGGAGCAGGUCCCAAGGGUUCGGCUGUUCGCCGAUUAAAGUGGUACGUGAGCUGGGUUUAGAACGUCGUGAGACAGUUCGGUCCCUAUCUGCCGUGGGUGUAGGAAAAUUGAGAGGAUCUGUCCCUAGUACGAGAGGACCGGGAUGGACAUACCUCUGGUGGACCUGUUGUGGCGCCAGCCGCAUUGCAGGGUAGCUAUGUAUGGACGGGAUAACCGCUGAAAGCAUCUAAGCGGGAAACCCACCUCAAAACCAGGUUUCCCUUGAGAGCCGUGGAAGACCACCACGUCGAUAGGCCGGGUGUGGAAGCGCAGUGAUGCGUGGAGCUAACCGGUACUAAUUGCUCGAUAGGCUUGAUCGU
rnacentral:rRNA from 1 species